rnacentral:rRNA from 1 species
GGCGUCUUAGCAUGCAGUCGGGCGGCAAGCGCCAGCAAUGGCGCCUAGAGCGGCGGACUGGUGAGUAACGCGUGGGUGACCGACCCUGGGGAUGGGGACAGCCGCUGGAAACAGCGGGUAAUACCGAAUACGCUCGCCGGGCCGUGGUCUGGCGAGGAAAGGGGCUUCGGCCCCGCCCUGGGACGGGCCCGCGUCCUAUUAGGUAGUUGGCGGGGUAAGAGCCCACCAAGCCGGAGAUAGGUAGCCGGCCUGAGAGGGCGAACGGCCACACUGGGACUGAGAUACGGCCCAGACUCCUACGGGAGGCAGCAGCUAAGAAUAUUCCGCAAUGGGCGAAAGCCUGACGGAGCGACGCCGCGUGGGCGAGGAAGGCCGAAAGGUUGUAAAGCCCUUUUGCGGAUGAAGAAUAAGGCUGGGAGGGAAUGCCCGGCGGAUGACGAUAGUCCGUGAAUAAGCCCCGGCUAAUUACGUGCCAGCAGCCGCGGUAACACGUAAGGGGCGAGCGUUGUUCGGAAUUAUUGGGCGUAAAGGGCGCGUAGGCGGCCGUGUAAGUCCGGCGUGAAAUGGCGGGGCCCAACCCCGUCACUGCGUUGGAAACUGUAUGGCUUGGGUCACGGAGGGGCAGUUGGAAUUCCUGGUGUAGGGGUGAAAUCUGUAGAUAUCAGGAAGAACACCGGUGGCGAAGGCGAACUGCCAGCCGAUGACUGACGCUGAGGCGCGAAAGCGCGGGGAGCGAACAGGAUUAGAUACCCUGGUAGUCCGCGCUAUAAACGAUGCACACUAAGUGUCGGGCCGAGCGAUUCGGCGCCGGAGCGAACGCGAUAAGUGUGCCGCCUGGGGAGUAUGCCCGCAAGGGUGAAACUCAAGGAAUUGACGGGGGCCCGCACAAGCGGUGGAGCAUGUGGUUUAAUUCGAUGAUACGCGAGGAACCUUACCUGGGUUUGACUGGGUA